GGGGGCGUACUGGCUUCGACUCAUCGUUGGAAGCGCAGACGGCAUGUCGAGGAUGGUUCGUUGGCCUCGUUAAAAACCGGACCAAAACAAUAAACGCAGACAACGAAGGUCUCGCUCUCGCGGCUUAAUUGACCGCGACGUUUGACGCUGGACGCCUGCUACGGCGGCAAACGUGGACAGCAGGCUGGCGGACUGGCGGAGCGACCGCGCCGGUUCGUGAAUCGAUUUCGUGGGCGCUCGGGAGCCGGUAGUGUGCCGGCGCAUGGCUCGGCUCCUCAGAAUUUAUCGCCGGAUAAACAUGUAGAUGUUCGCGUGGAGAGCGACGAGGACAGGGGUUCAACUCCCCUCGCCUCCAGCC
rnacentral:tmRNA from 1 species